AAACACGUUGUCCACAUCUUUUCUAAGGUCCCUUCAGAGUGGGAGAAAGUAAUUGCAGAUCGAGUUCCUGAGAUCGGCUCAGCUUGAAUAUGGCGCUUAUAAGCUACACUGCCUUCGUAUUUUUGACAUGGUGCUCUUCUGUAGCCGGUUCGGAACAAGUUGCUGCACAAAGCCCUGAUGCAAUGGUUGGCAAGAUGCUUCGAGAUACCCAGCCUCUCGUGUUGGUCUUCGGAAAUCAAAUGCCAGAAAGCGUGAAGCAACACUGCUGCUUUACUUCCGUAAAGAUCGGCAGUGCCGGAGCUGAUUUUCACCACAACGUAGAAGCCAGGUCACC